rnacentral:ribozyme from 1 species
UUUCGCUUUUCCUUCUUUCUUUCUUUCCUUCUUUCUUUCCUCUUUCAUUCUUUCAUUCUUUCCUUCUUAACCUUCCCUCGAAAGCGCGAAAGGAGGGGGUUACACUGCUAGGCACAGAGCUAUAAAGAACAAUAGCACUUUUGAAGCAGAGAUUUUUUAUUAAAAAAAAGAAGAAGAAAGAAAGAAAGAAAGAAAGAAAAAAACUUAGGUCAAUCAACUUUUGAAUA